UGGAUUCCAUCUGUGUUUGGAGAAUCUCCAGGAGAUGAAGUUGUGAAGUCAGACACUUGAAUGUUUACACAGUUAUCAAACUUGAGGUGGGUCUGAGGGCUGUUCUGUAUGGUUAUUCCAUUAACCAUUACACCGUUACUCCCGUAGAAUCUCAAAGCCUACGUACCAGCCAAGGAAGGAGACAGGUCCAACAAGGAACGUAGAACCGGAUGGAACUAAUAAUGUCGAUGCUGCCACUUUACAAGCUUCAUUCCAAGCAUCUUCAAAGGCCUGCAAUAUCAAAGUCAAGGACAUUGAACGUUCCGGAACUUCCCCCUUCAGCGAUAGACCUGCGGUUUCCUCUCCAGUAUACACUGUGUCUAGCGUCACAAGAGAUUAAAAGGAGAAGUUUCAGGGCAAGACAUUUCAAGGUACUGAGCUGGUCUUGGUAAGCUCUUCGGUUAACACAAAAACCAAAAUCUAUUUAUCAGGCAAAGGAUUAUUAAAGAGUCAAGAAAAGUUGCCAUACAAUCACAGGCAUGUCACGUAGACCUCAUCAUAAGAUAAUCUUUUUUUUUAUUUUGAAUUCCUUAAAUUAAGCAGCGUAAUUUAGGUUAAAUCUGUGGUGUUCAUUGAAUCUUCUCAAAUGCUAUAUAAAAUCUAUUUAUCAUUUUUUCUUCGAACUCAUGAACAUUCAAAGGUCCAUAUUAGUUGCAUGAGAAUAGGAUGCUCAGCACGGUUUGAUUAUGGUAUAUUAGUAAGAUUCAAAGUUAUGUAUUGAACUCGUGAUGAAGAUACACUUUGCAUGCAGCCCCAGGUGGAAGGAAGAAUAUAGACUUGUAGAGUAUAGACUAGCACGUUGCUACAUGUAUGGAUCCCAUGCGUUGACUUUGACAAAACUUUGUUGAAUUAUUCUAUAUCUCUUGAUCUUGAAGAGCCUAUUGGUCCCCAAAUUCACUGAAAUGCUGUUACUAUUUUAUUAAUUGUAUCUUGCUUUGGCUGUUGGAAGUGUGAUUAUAUAUAAGAAAUUUCAAGUGAUUCCAUGUCGUGUAACUGAUUUCUUGUGACACUUUUUUAUUAUCUUCGACUA